rnacentral:rRNA from 1 species
UUUGGUUAAGUUAGAAAGGGCGCACGGUGGAUGCCUUGACACUAGGAGUCGAUGAAGGACGGGACUAACGCCGAUAUGCUUCGGGGAGCUGUAAGUAAGCUUUGAUCCGAAGAUUUCCGAAUGGGGAAACCCACCAUACGUAAUGGUAUGGUAUCCUUAUCUGAAUACAUAGGGUAAGGAAGACAGACCCAGGGAACUGAAACAUCUAAGUACCUGGAGGAAGAGAAAGCAAAUGCGAUUUCCUGAGUAGCGGCGAGCGAAACGGAACAUAGCCCAAACCAAGAGGCUUGCCUCUUGGGGUUGUAGGACAUUCUAUACGGAGUUACAAAGGAACGAGGUAGACGAAGCGACCUGGAAAGGUCCGUCGUAGAGGGUAACAACCCCGUAGUCGAAACUUCGUUCUCUCUUGAAUGUAUCCUGAGUACGGCGGAACACGUGAAAUUCCGUCGGAAUCUGGGAGGACCAUCUCCCAAGGCUAAAUACUCCCUAGUGAUCGAUAGUGAACCAGUACCGUGAGGGAAAGGUGAAAAGCACCCCGGAAGGGGAGUGAAAGAGAUCCUGAAACCGUGUGCCUACAAAUAGUCAGAGCCCGUUAACGGGUGAUGGCGUGCCUUUUGUAGAAUGAACCGGCGAGUUACGAUCCCGUGCGAGGUUAAGCUGAAGAGGCGGAGCCGCAGCGAAAGCGAGUCUGAAUAGGGCGUUUAGUACGUGGUCGUAGACCCGAAACCAGGUGAUCUACCCAUGUCCAGGGUGAAGUUCAGGUAACACUGAAUGGAGGCCCGAACCCACGCACGUUGAAAAGUGCGGGGAUGAGGUGUGGGUAGCGGAGAAAUUCCAAUCGAACCUGGAGAUAGCUGGUUCUCCCCGAAAUAGCUUUAGGGCUAGCCUUAAGUGUAAGAGUCUUGGAGGUAGAGCACUGAUUGGACUAGGGGUCCUCAUCGGAUUACCGAAUUCAGUCAAACUCCGAAUGCCAAUGACUUAUCCUUAGGAGUCAGACUGCGAGUGAUAAGAUCCGUAGUCAAAAGGGAAACAGCCCAGACCGCCAGCUAAGGUCCCAAAGUGUGUAUUAAGUGGAAAAGGAUGUGGAGUUGCUUAGACAACUAGGAUGUUGGCUUAGAAGCAGCCACCAUUUAAAGAGUGCGUAAUAGCUCACUAGUCGAGUGACUCUGCGCCGAAAAUGUACCGGGGCUAAAUACACCACCGAAGCUGCGGAUUGAUACCAAUGGUAUCAGUGGUAGGGGAGCGUUCUAAGGACAGUGAAGUCAGACCGGAAGGACUGGUGGAGUGCUUAGAAGUGAGAAUGCCGGUAUGAGUAGCGAAAGACGGGUGAGAAUCCCGUCCACCGAAUGCCUAAGGUUUCCUGAGGAAGGCUCGUCCGCUCAGGGUUAGUCAGGACCUAAGCCGAGGCCGACAGGCGUAGGCGAUGGACAACAGGUUGAUAUUCCUGUACCACCUCUUUAUCGUUUGAGCAAUGGAGGGACGCAGAAGGAUAGAAGAAGCGUGCGAUUGGUUGUGCACGUCCAAGCAGUUAGGCUGAUAAGUAGGCAAAUCCGCUUAUCGUGAAGGCUGAGCUGUGAUGGGGAAGCUCCUUAUGGAGCGAAGUCUUUGAUUCCCCGCUGCCAAGAAAAGCUUCUAGCGAGAUAAAAGGUGCCUGUACCGCAAACCGACACAGGUAGGCGAGGAGAGAAUCCUAAGGUGUGCGAGAGAACUCUGGUUAAGGAACUCGGCAAAAUGACCCCGUAACUUCGGGAGAAGGGGUGCUUUCUUAACGGAAAGCCGCAGUGAAUAGGCCCAAGCGACUGUUUAGCAAAAACACAGCUCUCUGCGAAGCCGUAAGGCGAAGUAUAGGGGGUGACACCUGCCCGGUGCUGGAAGGUUAAGGAGAGGGGUUAGCGUAAGCGAAGCUCUGAACUGAAGCCCCAGUAAACGGCGGCCGUAACUAUAACGGUCCUAAGGUAGCGAAAUUCCUUGUCGGGUAAGUUCCGACCCGCACGAAAGGUGUAACGAUUUGGGCACUGUCUCAACCAGAGACUCGGUGAAAUUAUAGUACCUGUGAAGAUGCAGGUUACCCGCGACAGGACGGAAAGACCCCGUGGAGCUUUACUGUAGCCUGAUAUUGAAUUUUGGUACAGUUUGUACAGGAUAGGCGGGAGCCUUUGAAACCGGAGCGCUAGCUUCGGUGGAGGCGCUGGUGGGAUACCGCCCUGACUGUAUUGAAAUUCUAACCUACGGGUCUUAUCGACCCGGGAGACAGUGUCAGGUGGGCAGUUUGACUGGGGCGGUCGCCUCCUAAAGUGUAACGGAGGCGCCCAAAGGUUCCCUCAGAAUGGUUGGAAAUCAUUCGUAGAGUGCAAAGGCAUAAGGGAGCUUGACUGCGAGACCUACAAGUCGAGCAGGGACGAAAGUCGGGCUUAGUGAUCCGGUGGUUCCGCAUGGAAGGGCCAUCGCUCAACGGAUAAAAGCUACCCCGGGGAUAACAGGCUUAUCUCCCCCAAGAGUCCACAUCGACGGGGAGGUUUGGCACCUCGAUGUCGGCUCAUCGCAUCCUGGGGCUGUAGUCGGUCCCAAGGGUUGGGCUGUUCGCCCAUUAAAGCGGUACGCGAGCUGGGUUCAGAACGUCGUGAGACAGUUCGGUCCCUAUCCGUCGUGGGCGUAGGAAAUUUGAGAGGAGCUGUCCUUAGUACGAGAGGACCGGGAUGGACGCACCGCUGGUGUACCAGUUGUUCUGCCAAGGGCAUAGCUGGGUAGCUAUGUGCGGAAGGGAUAAGUGCUGAAAGCAUCUAAGCAUGAAGCCCCCCUCAAGAUGAGAUUUCCCAUAGCGUAAGCUAGUAAGAUCCCUGAAAGAUGAUCAGGUUGAUAGGUUCGAGGGUGGAAGCAUGGUGACAUGUGGAGCUGACGAAUACUAAUAGAUCGAGGACUUAACCAUAUAA